rnacentral:rRNA from 1 species
GUAGGGAAUAUUGGACAAUGGGCGAAAGCCUGAUCCAGCCAUGCCGCGUGAUAGAUGAAGGCCCUCUGGGUUGUAAAUAUCUUUUAUCUGGGAAGAAACUCCUCUAUUCUUAGAGGCCUGACGGUACCAGAGGAAUAAGCACCGGCUAACUCCGUGCCAGCAGCCGCGGUAAUACGGAGGGUGCAAGCGUUAUCCGGAUUCACUGGGUUUAAAGGGUGCGUAGGCGGGUUGAUAAGUCAGUGGUGAAAGCUCCGGGCUUAACUUGGAAACUGCCAUUGAUACUGUCAGUCUUGAAUGUCGUAGAGGUAAGCGGAAUGUUGCAUGUAGCGGUGAAAUGCUUAGAUAUGUUACAGAACACCAAUUGCGAAGGCAGCUUACUAUGCGAUAAUUGACGCUGAGGCACGAAAGCGUGGGGAGCAAACAGGAUUAGAUACCCGAGUAGUCC